UACAGAGGUCCCAAGCGUUGUUCGGAUUCACUGGGCGGUAAAGGGUGCGUAGGUGGUUGGGAAAGUUUGAUGUGAAAGCUCGGAGCUUAACUCCGAAAUGGCAUUGAAUACUUCUUAACUUGAGGGUCGGAGGGGAGACUGGAAUUCUCGGUGUAGCAGUGAAAUGCGUAGAUAUCGAGAGGAACACCAGUGGCGAAGGCGAGUCUCUGGACGACUCCUGACACUGAGGCAC
rnacentral:rRNA from 1 species